rnacentral:rRNA from 1 species
CAGUCGCCGCGGGAAUACGUAGGGUGCAAGCGUUAAUCGGAAUUACUGGGCGUAAAGCGUGCGCAGGCGGUUCGUUAAGACAGAUGUGAAAUCCCCGGGCUUAACCUGGGAACUGCAUUUAUGACUGGCGGGCUAGAGUAUGGCAGAGGGGGGUAGAAUUCCACGUGUAGCAGUGAAAUGCGUAGAGAUGUGGAGGAAUACCGAUGGCGAAGGCAGCCCCCUGGGCCAAUACUGACGCUCAUGCACGAAAGCGUGGGGAGCAAACAGGAUUAGAUACCCCAGUAGUCCCUGUCUCUUAUAC